GGACAACAGCCAUCAUGAAACGGAACAGCAUGAGUACAGCACCCAAUGCACAUGUCAGCACGACGCUGGACAGGUACAACUUUGUAAAAAGCAGUUCAAAAACCAAAUCGGGCAUGUUUUGACCGUUCAAAGACUCCCUUACAAAUGAAGAGAACAAAAUUUACUGUUUACCCAAAAAACAAGAAUAACAAAGGCUAUGUUUAUUUAAACAACUCUAGCAAGGUUUUUUAAAAAUUUAUUAUUCGCUUAAUACUCAAUGGCACAACAUAUUUUUACAUAAUUCAACAAUUUCUCAUCAGAAAAACAUUCUGUUUAAAAAAAUAAUACUAUGGAAAUUUGGCCAAAUUUUACUUAUAAAAAAUAAAAUAAAUUAAAAGAUUUUGCUAAAAUAGUGUAAAUAUUAAGGCUACUACAUAUGUUACACUUUAUUCAGACAAUCUUAGCAUUGUCUCAAACAACUGAAUAAAAUGCAUGAGAAAUAUUUCCAAUUUUUGCAAAAUUAUGACUCAAGGUUUUUUUUUUACAAUUAUAACUGUAAAAGAUGUCAAGAAAGAAACUUUCACAGCCCGGUCCUUAAACACUUCUGUUUAAAUGAGAAUCUGUUUGGUUCAUCGUCAGUGCAGAAGAUGAUCAUCAUGACAAAUAGGAACUUAAGUCGUUCAAAUCUUUAUACGACAUGAACAAAAUGGACUUAUUACUGUAAGCCAAAAGCCAGUUAUACAAUAUUUUGAACCAAGAAAACAUUUGACAUUAAGAAAUGAUGUCGGUAAUGCAAUAUUUUUACUAAAAAAUCAAAAGUAAAAUUAUGGCAAACAUAUAUGAAUACCAAAAAGGUCACUGCUUAAAAAUUACAACGAAAAGAGCUAAAUAUUGCCACCAUGUCUGACCUGUCAUGGCUUGAACAAGUCAGUUUUGUUCAUUUAUUAACCAUAAUUCAUGGUACAUACUCAUCAUGAAAUGAUACACAAUACACAAUAUACAAUAUAUAUUAGUGAUCAAGAAACAUCAACAUAAUUUUAUGGUGGAUUAUCACAAAGUAAUUAAUCUCUAUAAUCGCUGUGAAUGAUACAAAACGAAUCAAAUAUUAAUAUAAUACACCGAAUGUCAUUGAGUUUUAAGAAAAUAUUUGAUAGUGAAACACAAGAAAAAAAUUCAGGCACUGUUUGAUUCUUGGCCUUAAUUAUGGAAAACCAGGAAGAUCCAUUUACAUACAGAUACAUUUACUGUUUUUAAUUGUAUUGGUUUUUGGCAAAAAAAGGCAAACUAGUUUUAGUUUUUCUGUAUUGGAUUUUUGUGAAGUGCAUUAAGCAAAGACUUAAUUGUAAUCAUCGUACAACUUGAGAUAAACAAAAACAAUAAAGAUGAGAGGAUGAGAGAGCGAAAGGAUUCAGCUAAGCUUUCCAGAGCAGAGAUCACAACUACAACUGCUUCUUUGUGAUUCUGCAUGGUUUCAGUCUGUCUUUAACUUUUAGCAAAAGGUUACCAAAAGGAAAAGUUUAUCACAGUUUUAUAUCAUAACUGAAAAGGAAAGCCACAGCAUGAUCAUCAUAAAGUCUAGCUGUAAAACUUGCGAUCACAGAGAAACAAGAAUUGAAAAAAGCUGAUAUUGUAAGUACGUUUAUACAGUGAUGGCAUUAAGAGGUCAGAUGAAGCCAAGCCUCCAGAAUCGGAAUCAGGUACAAUCAUUACAUGAUUAUUCUCGUUUUCACCUAUCACUGCUUUAUAACACGACUGAAAAGAAAGCCACAUUUUGGAAAAGGCUUUGUUCAUUUAUCAAUAAUAAUACAUGAUAAAGGCUAUCUGAUCAAAAUCAUUCAUCUCUACAAUCACAGCUACUGGUACAAAAUGAACCUAAUAUUAAUAUAAUGCACCCAAUGUCAUAGUUUUAAGAAAAUAUUUGAUAGUGAAAUAAAAAUGAAAAAUAUAUUAAGACACUAUUUGGAGCAGAUCUGAACAUUUAACACUUUUAAAUUUGUUGUUUUUUGGUAAACAUAAAAGCAACUUAGACCUCGUAUUCCUUGUUUUUUUAAUUUUUUGAGAUAUGUUUGGUUCUUAAUGUGAAGCCUCACACAAUUGAUAUAAUGGCAAGCAGGGCGACUUGUGAUCACAGAAAAAAAAGAACUGGAAUAGUUGAUUAUAUAUAAGGUUGAACCAAGAUGGCUGUGAGAGACGGUAAAGCCAAGCAUCUGGAACUGAAAUUAGACGUGCAUCUGCCUCUGCAAGAUUCCACUCGGUUUCACUUAUCACUAACUUUUGGCAAACAAUUCAGUUACAAAAAGAAAAAUUUUAUCACUGCUUUAUAACAUUAGCGAAAAGAAAACUGAGCUUGGGCUCAUAUUUUGUUCUUCAAUUAUUCAAUAAUAAAACGAUAAAUACUACCAUUGAUCAAGGAGUAUAAGCUUAACAUCUUGGGUAUUGUGUGAAGUGUAUACAGGUUUGAUAAACGAAGCUUCAACACAACCAUCAUGAUGUCAAGCCAUGCGACUUGCUAUCACAGACAUAUACCUGAAAAAGCUAACAUUGUAUGUAUGUAAAUUUAAAUGUCAGAUUCAGUGUGAGACUGUGUUGGUCACACGGUGAAGCCAAGCCUCUGGAACCGGAAUCACAGUUUCAAACACCUCUGCAUGAUUCCACUUGGUUUCACCUAUAUCUACAUUGUGGCCAAAAAUUUAAGAAAAACAAAAGGAAAAGUUUAUCACUGCUUUACAACAUUAUUGAAAAGAAAGUCACAGCUUGAACACAUUUGUUGUUCUUCUUUUAAUAAAAAAACGAGAUAAAUGUAUCAGUGCUCAAGAAGCAAAAGCAUGACUUCUUAGGUUUUGUGUGAAACGUAUUUCGGUUUGAAAAACAAAGCCUCAGCACAAUCAUCAUAAUGCCAAGCCAUGCAACUUGUGAUCACAGAUAAACAACUGAAAAAUCUGAUACUGUAUGUGUAUAAAUUUAAAUCCAGGUAUAUGUGAGAGACAAAUGUUGGGUCAGUCGGUGUAGCCAAGCCCCAGGUACCGGAAUCACAGUUUCAACCGCCUCUGCAUGAUUCCUCUUGGUUUCACCUAUUGCUAACUUUUGGCAAAAAAUUUAUGAAUAACAAACAGGAAAAGUUUAUCACUGUUUUAUAACUGAAAAGAAAAUUACAGCUUGAACACAUUUGUUAUUCCUCUAUUAAUAUUAAAACUUGGUAAAUCUAUCAGUGCUCAAGAAGCAUCACCAAAACUUCUAGGGUUUUGCGUAACGUGUUUGGAUUUGAAAAGCGAACCCUCAAUGCAAUCAUCAUAAUGUCAAACCAUGUGACUUGCAAUCACAGGAUGAAAAGGAAUGAAAUUUAAAAAUCAACUCAAAGGUUAAGUUGAGCUAAAUUUGAAGCAGGCAUCAGGACAUUCCAUGACCGAGAAGAGUUAACCAGGAAAUGGUACUUCCACUUUUGAAUAAAGUAAUAAAUUGCCACAGAGUAAAGCGCUGAAAUUCUCAAAAUAAUGCACACUUUCCAUAGUAUAGUCAAUUUAAAAAUGAAAAGUAGCAGUGAAAUCAAUUAAACAACACCAAACUCAAUCAGGUAACAAAAAAAAGACCUUGUGAUCUGUAGGGUGAUGAACCUCUAGUUUGGUCGUUACUGAUAAUUUUUGGUCUGUCUGUUUCGCCGUAUAUCUUAUCUUCAGUGUGUUAGUGUAACAACGCAUCUGACAGACCUGACCAGCUAGACCAGCAUGAUCAGUACUGACCGAACUAAAAUAAGUCCUGUCAUAAAGGAUGGCUUAAUAGUCCAACUACUCAUUAUGGUGCGAAUGAAUGAGAGAGUUAAGCUAUUUAAUUAAAGAUAUACUUUUUCUAUAAUGUUUCAUCAUUUUAUAAAACCCAAUAAUUCUCAUAUAUAAAAAAUUCCAUGUAUUUGAAGACAAUAAAAUUAUCGACCUGACGAUUUCAAGCAGAUCAAAUGAACCAAAAUAACCCAAAUGCUUUCAUUAGGUUUUCCUUUUUACAGUAAUAGUCACAGAUUGACUUGGUACAGUAUUUGGUCUUCUAGGAGCUCCAGGAGUGGUAGAGAGCACUUGGGGAGAAUAAAAUCACCCCAGAAAGCAUUCCAAGCUACAUGGGCCAAAACAAGGUGAAGAGGAACGGAUCGUUGGCGAAUUUCAUCAUCUCCUCCUUGCCCAUAUUGACGAAAAUACGGCACACUUUGGCAAUGCUGAUGACCACGUUGCUGUUGUUUUGUGGCUACCCUUCCUGGAGGAGGAUAUCCAUUUUGGCGUUGGACUGGUCGACCAACAUCUCAGACAUCUCCUAUGCCAGGGUUUGUACUCAAAACUGCUGUGGCAAAUACCAAAAUUAGACACCCAAAUGACUUGGCCACUAUGAUCCUCCACAAAAAAUAAAUUAAUUAAAUAAGA
rnacentral:lncRNA from 1 species